rnacentral:rRNA from 1 species
AGGGCACCACCAGGAGUGGAGCCUGCGGCUUAAUUUGACUCAACACGGGAAAACUCACCCGGCCCGGACACCGUAAGGAUUGACGGACUGAGAGCUCUUUCUUAAUUCGGUGGGUGGUGGUGCAUGGCCGUUCUUAGUUGGUGGAGCGAUUUGUCUGGUUAAUUCCGAUAACGAACGAGACUCUGGCCUAUUAAAUAGACGGUAUAUCUAGAAAAAGUAUACCGCGCUUCUUAGAGGGACAACCGGCGUCUAGCCGCGUGAAAUAGAGCAAUAACAGGUCUGUGAUGCCCUUAGAUGUCCGGGGCUGCACGCGCGCUGCACUGAAAGAAUCAGUAUGCGCCGUCGCCUAGUUCGGAAGAACCGGGUAACCCGAGCAAAUUCUUUCGUGCUUGGGAUAGGGAAUUGCAAUUAUUUCCCUUAAACGAGGAAUUCCCAGUAAAUGCGGGUCAUAAGCUCGCGUUGAUUACGUCCCUGCCCUUUGUACACACCGCCCGUCGCUACUACCGAUUGGAUGACUUA